rnacentral:rRNA from 1 species
UACGGGGGGAGCAAGCGUUGUUCGGAUUUACUGGGCGUAAAGGGCGCGUAGGCGGCCUCCGCAAGUCAGUUGUGAAAUCUCCGAGCUUAACUCGGAAAGGUCAACUGAUACUGCGGGGCUAGAGUGCGGAAGGGGCAACUGGAAUUCUUGGUGUAGCGGUGAAAUGCGUAGAUAUCAAGAGGAACACCUGCGGCGAAGGCGGUUCUCUGGGCCUGUACUGACGCUGAGGAGCGAAAGCGUGGGGAGCGAACAGG